CAGAAAGUAGUUUACAUAAAAUCUUAACUUUGGGAGUUAAAGACCAGAUACCUCUGCUUUCUGA
rnacentral:tRNA from 1 species